UACGUAGGGUGCAAGCGUUACUCGGAAUUACUGGGCGUAAAGCGUGCGCAGGCGGUUGUGCGAGACAGGUGUGAAAUCCCCGGGCUCAACCUGGGAACUGCAUUUGUGACUGCACGGCUGGAGUGCGGCAGAGGGGGAUGGAAUUCCGCGUGUAGCAGUGAAAUGCGUAGAUAUGCGGAGGAACACCGAUGGCGAAGGCAAUCCCCUGGGCCUGCACUGACGCUCAUGCACGAAAGCGUGGGGAGCAAACAGG
rnacentral:rRNA from 1 species